UGCCCCAGGAGGAAGGGGGGACUGUUAGCAGCAUAGGAUUGAGGAGUUGGAAGAGAUCUUUAGAACAGCUGGUCAUUAUGCUGACCGGGUGCCUGCACUAAGUUCGGCAUCAAUAUGGUGACCUCCUGGGAGCGGUGGGGCCACCAAGUUGCCUAAGGAUGGCUGAACUGGCCCAGGUCAGAAAUGGAGCAGGUCAGAACUCCCACACCGACCGGUAGUGGGACUGGGCCUGGGCAGUAUAGCAAGAUCUUGGGUCUUAAAAAUAAAAAUAAAGAACAGCAGCUCAUUCCUCU
rnacentral:SRP_RNA from 10 species